UUUUUUCUCAGUGGUACAUAAAAUAAUGGUGUGUCCAACAAUCGAUGAUGUCUUAGAUUCAAAUAUAUGCAUUAAAAUCAAGUGCCAACAUUUAGGAACAAAUUUUAAUACAAAUGUUUUAGUAAUUUUACCUUUACUGAUACAAAAAAAAAAAAAAAAAAAAAAAAAAGUCCACAAAUCUAGGAUACAAAAUUCUAGGAACAUUGUAAUAAAUGACAAUAAAAUGCCUUCUAAACUAGUUCCAAAACAGAAGAACGCUAUGAAAUAACAAAAAUGCCUACUGUCUGCAAGUAUCAUACAAUGCAACCCUAAAACUGAACAAACAAUGAAUGUGUUAACCUAAGUCAUUCAACAGCCCAAAUUCCUACUAGAAUGUGCUGAUCAAGUAUUUUUCUUCAUAACAGUAAUGCCAGGAAUCAAUUUCUAUUUUCAGUGAAAAGAACCAGAAAAGAACAAGACAUAGAUGUAUAAUACGGAAGGAAACACAUGAGAAAAACACAAGGAAGGAAGAAUGUAGAAGGAAAUUCAAGUUCACCAAAAUUCAACAGAAAACAGGAUCACAAAUAAGACAAGACUCAAGUUCAAAAAUCAUCCCAAGAAACUCUAUGGAUCAAUAACAGAAAUGCAAAUUUCAUCUUCACAGAGACUAAGAUAUCUGUAACAUCUAAACACAUUAAAAGGUUGCCAAUAAACAGUUAAGAUUAAACAGGAGAAUGCCAAAUGCUGAAAAAGAAUGGGCAUGGUUAAAGAUCUCAAUGCAAGCUGGUGAAGUUCUCCGAAGUGGCUACCUCACCCUAAAGGCAAGAACAGCAAAUAUCCUAUUGGAGACAACACAACAGAAUCCAUAGGAUGACAGAAUUAGGUGGGGGCUUGACUGUGAUCUUUACCAGGGAAUGCCAGGUUAAGUACACAGAGUGAGAUAAUAUCUUCAUGAGACAAUACCUUAAUACCUUUAACAGUGAGACAGGACAGAAGGUAGAAAUUCUGAGUGGUAAGCAGCCCCAAAGCUGCCCAUCUCCACGUAGUGGAAGGAAGGAAGGAAGGAAGGAAGGAAGGAAGGAAGGAAGGAAGGAAGGAAGGAAGGGAGGGAGGGAGGGAGGGAACAAUUCACAUUCAAGCUCAAUUCCUGCUAGCCUGAAAUAAUGCCCUGUAUCCUCUCCCACAUGAACCUCCUGCAAAUAGUUGGUACAGGAAAACUAACAAAGAACACAAGUAAGAAAAAUGUUGCCACCAAUCAAAUAAAAAUCAAUGACCUAGCCAUGAUUUCAAAUGAAUAAAGUAAACAGCUUAAUGGAGUGAUAUAAAGAGCUUAGAGAAAAUAUGGUAAGAGAAGUUGAUAAAAAAAAAAAACAAAACAAAAAACUAGUCGAGUUCAGAAAAGAAAUGAAAGAAAUAUAAAAACCAACACAGAAAUGAAGGCCAUAUUGGAACGUACUAAAGAAAAAAAAAAAAGACCCUGCACAAGUUGUGUUAAGGAUCAACAAAAGCAAUCAGUGGAAGCAAUCAGCAAUCAAUGGAAAUUCUAUUUCUCUAGAGAGAAAAUAAUGGAUAUGUAAGAGAAUGGAGAUCUAAAAUGUGUAAUAACUGCUAUCUUUGGAAGAAGGAAACAAAAAUAAUGGAACUGAAAAAAUAUUCAAAGGUAUAACCUGAGAAAACUACAGAAACAAAUCCGGCACUAUAGACUGAACAGGCACCACAGUCCCAGAGAACCAGAUACAGAACUAAAAGAGAGGUAGAAACACAGAUGUAAAAGUAAAGGACAUCAGAGACAAGGACAGAACAUGGGGAGAAAUCUCAGAGAUUUGAACAGCUACAUAAAAUGCUAGUUAUGAAGCUACUGUCUAUGACAUUACCAGGAAAUAACACGUGAGACAAGAAUUUUAAAGCCACAAUGUGAUGGACGUUCAAAGACAACAGGAAGACACUUCGAAUAUAUUCAGCAAAUAGAAUUUCUACAAGACCUUUAUAAAAUGACUAGAAAGCAAACUUCAACCAAGAUUUGAUUACAGAGAGUGAUGUCUGCAUCAUGACAGCAUAAGCUAUCCCUUGUUUUAUCCCUCCAACCAAACAACAAAAGUCUAGCAUCUACUCAUGAAUAACACUGCGUGUGUGGAACCCAGCAUCAUUCGCCAAGGGGGCUCGGGAAAGCCUUGUUUACAAGUGUAUUGGUAAGAGACCGUCUUUAGUACUGUUUGUAGAACCUAUAGGAGGUUACGAAGUGGUUUGUGCCCCCCUUGCCUGUAGUCUGGGAGUGCCUGCAGAACAAGAACUCAGUCACCUAAAGAAGAGAGAGAGACUUUGUGGAAGUCCAGGUUUCCAGAAGAGAAGUUCCAGUACUCAGCUGGAGUAAAACAAAAUAAAAAAAAAAAAAAAAGGUUUGGAUGCAUUCAAGUAGGUAAAGAGAAGAGCUUGAUUUUGCUGGCAUCAUCUCUUCUCCAAAGCAGCACACUUGAAAGGUAACUAGAUAGCUGGUGAUUUUUCCCAGAGGAGAGAGGGAGAGCUGGUGAGUACAUGCCUGGUUUCCCUAAUUGUGUAGGAUGCUGUCAAAGACACUCAUUUUAUUCUUGGAAGAUCCAGACCCAGAACAUCCAUUAAAGUGGGAGCUCCAUGACUAGGGGGAGGGAGCAGAUCUGGAGAGCAGCAUUUAAGAUUCCUGGAUAAUUUGUAAAUGAACACAGGAUCUAAGAAGGCAAACUGUUGACAUUAAAAACAUAAAAGGUGGGGAGUAAAAGGGUUUUGCAUAUGAUUGAAGUUAGUAUCAGCAUGAAA